UAAUGUCUGGGAAACUGCCUGAUGGAGGGGGAUAACUACUGGAAACGGUAGCUAAUACCGCAUAACGUCGCAAGACCAAAGUGGGGGACCUUCGGGCCUCAUGCCAUCAGAUGUGCCCAGAUGGGAUUAGCUAGUAGGUGGGGUAAUGGCUCACCUAGGCGACGAUCCCUAGCUGGUCUGAGAGGAUGACCAGCCACACUGGAACUGAGACACGGUCCAG
rnacentral:rRNA from 1 species